rnacentral:rRNA from 1 species
GUCCACGCCCUAAACGAUGGCGACUAGUUGUUGGGGAUUAACAUCCUUAGUAACGCAGCUAACGCGUGAAGUCGCCCGCCUGGGGAGUACGGUCGCAAGAUUAAAACUCAAAGGAAUUGACGGGGGCCCGCACAAGCGGUGGAUGAUGUGGUUUAAUUCGAUGCAACGCGAAAAACCUUACCUACCCUUGACAUGUCCGGAAUCCCGCAGAGAUGUGGGAGUGCCCGAAAGGGAGCCGGAACACAGGUGCUGCAUGGCUGUCGU